CGCCCGCCGGGCCCGCACCGCCCCUCGCCUCCCCUCACACGGGCCUGGGGCUGAGGCGGGGAGGUGCCGAUGGCUGUGGCCGGGGGGAUCCUGCACAGCCCCGGGGUCACAAAGUCACGGAAUCUCUUAGGCUGGAAAAGAUCGCCCAGAUUCUCGAGUCCAAACCGUGACCGAGCACCAUCGUGUCAACCAGACCACGGCACUAAGUACCACGUCCAGUCGUUCCUUAAACACCUUCAUCACCUCCCUUGGGCAACCCGUUCCUAAGUCCGGUCACCUUUUCUGUGAGGAAAUUCUUCCUAAUGUCACAGAAUCACCGAGUCUACUGAGUUGGAAAGGACCCACAGGGGUGAUCGGGUCCARCUCCCGGCCCUCCACAGGUCCAGCCUAACCCUCUCCAGGCGCAGCUUUAUCCCGCAUCCUCUCCUCCUGUCGCUGGCUGCCUGGGAGAAAAGCCCGACCCCAGCCUGGCUACAGCCGCCUUCCGUGCCCUGGAUUCGGCAGGUGGAACCUGAGAGCCCGGACUGCCAGGCUGUGCCUGCAGCAUGGGCUGCCCUGGAGGCCUCUGGAAGCAGCAGUGAUGCCCUUAUGGAAAAAUUACCCGAAAGAUUGAAAGCGCAGUUAUGUGCACUGCUCCGAGGCAGCUGUUUCCAUGAGGAAAGCCCUGCUGCCUCCUGACGUGACCCGUGUCCAAUCAGGAGUUUAAAGGGAUCAUUUGCCCCGUGCUGUGCUACCAACAGUCUCUGACCUUUGACGCAAUUUGGCAAAUCAGAUGGCUCUGAUUACAAAAGCCUUUGAAACACACUGUCCAUUCCACCUCGUGCUGUCUGCCAGAGACCAGAGUCCUUGAAAACAGACACCUGAAGAGAAAAACGAGAGCCAGCACAAUCUCCAUAGGAGCUUAAGGAGGUCAUUGUCGGGUUUAUCCUAGAUAUUUGUGAGGUUCUCAUGGGUCCUGGMUCCGAGUGCCUUUGGUCUCUGCUCCUAGAGACUCUUGUGAGCUGUUCAGCUUCUUUACCUUUCAGCUGUUAACCCUAAAUCACAGUGUGAACAGCCAGUGAGAUGCUACAGUGCACCUCUUCCAAGAUGCUUGUUUACUUCUGGGCCCAAAGUGCAGAGCUGGAGUGGAGGAUCCUUUCCACAUGCAGUGUCCACGAGCAGACUCUGGGCAGCUGAGGAGGAGACGCCGCUGUUCUGCAGGGGCUGAAAUACAGUACUCCUGGCACACAGGAGACAUGGAGAGACACAGGCCCUGGUCCUUCAUUUCAGGGGAGCCAAAACCAGCUGACCAGCUGUUAGGGUCAGCAUUAAUACCCCAUGAAAGGUGAGUGGAGUUGGCUGUUGUUUCUGCAAGAUUUAUGCCUCCUCUUCUCCACAAGCACCUUGUUUCUUUUUGCUUUCCCUCCRCUUCCUACAGCAGUUAUGACAUAUCUGUUUCUGAGUUCAGCAYAUUCUGAAUUCUGCAUGAGCCUUUGGAAAAGCAACACUUUAAGAUUGUCUUUUAACUAAUGUGUUUUAAAUGGUCAUUAAACAUUGCUURUCAUUUGUUGACCACCUUUGCAUGAACUACAUUCAAAAUGUUUGAUAAAGCCAUGCAAAGUAUUUUUCUUUCUUAAAGAUCUGACUAUAAGCAACAGAAAGGAGAUAAACAGGACUCAGUUARACAUGACCUGCACGGUAAAAUGUCACUUAAUGCAGACAAUUUGUUAGCUUCCAUUUUACAUCUUCUUUCAAUGAAAACUCUGAUGCUGUAAGGCUGGAAUCAAAAGUCACAGUCCCAGUAGAACACAGUGUACAGCAGCAGCAGCAGCAAAUUUGAUUUGUUUGCCUCAUAGGGCGGAUAAUGCACUUAAGCAAUUGUGUAGCACAGUACAGUCAAAUUUCACAGACCUCAGUGUAUGACAGUCAGAAAUCAGCAAGCUGGCAGAUGGCCCAAGUUCCUUACUGGGCACCUUCCCAACAUGUAUAAAUCUGGGGGGGUUGGGUAUCAGUUACAGGUGGAUGAUCCAGCUGACCGGACAGACCUUCCGACUCUUUGGAGUCAAACACAAUUAGCUGUGGCACAUCUGACARCUUUAUGUCUGUGCAUACAUCUCCAUAACAACACAAAACGGGUCCAAGUGAAUUGAAUAACUAAUGAAUGAAGACACAGGCAGCUUUAACAAAUUUUCAAUAUUUAGAGACUCAUCUAUAUAUCUGAAUUCACGUUCUGGAUUACUCUCUGACAACUCUAAAAGAGCAUAUUCCUGAAAGAUAUAGUUGGUAAGCUGUAGGAAAGAAACAUUUCUCUGUAGGAAAACCUAACCUCCAGCAAUGUUUGAUGAUGAURAUUUAUUACCUGGUGCUUUGGUUUUUACCUUGAUAAAGAUUUAAUUGCCUGACACCAAGAAAACCUUUCUGUCAUGCUGUACRUCUGUUUAUCUGGAAUGAGUAUAUUGCUAUAGAGAUUUUGAUGUAAAUAAAUAAAACCCAUUUGGUUUUAUUUGCAGUGUUGCUGAAUGAAGACAUGACCUUAUGAUUGUGUCUCUCUUGGGUGCUGAAGGAAGAGGAUUGGUUAGGACAUUGUGGUUAUGGGACCUCCUUUUACAUUCUUUUURGUAACUGAGACCUCUCAAAGAACCAGGCUGUGCUGAUUUUGGCUGGGCUAGAGUUAUUUUUCUUCACAGUAGCUGGCAUGGGCUGUGUUUUGGAUUUGUGCUGGAAAUAGUGUUUAUAACACAGGGAUGUUUUUGUUAUUGCUGAGCAGGGCUUACACAGRSCCAAGGCCUUUCCUGCCUCUCACCCCACCCCAGCAGCGAUGGGGCUGGGGGUGCACAAGGARCUGGGAGGAGAUGCAGCCGAGACAGCUGACCCUGACUGACCAAAGGGACAUCCCAUAACAUAUGGAGCCAUGCUCAKCAUGUAAAGGGGAGUGAGUGACUUUGUGGGACUGAAUUGUUGGCUGGCGUCAAACCAUGACACAGAAUUACAAAUGCAGGACCACAGUGGCUUUUCAUCACRUGCCUUCCUACCAAGAUGCUCACACACAUCUUGGGUAACAGCAAAAGCUGGGGAUGGGAUGGCAGGCUUGGCUGGAGAGUUUGAACAGUACAUGAAAAACAACUGCAGUGCAAGUUGUAYGUGAUGAGGGAAGUGUUGGGAGCAGCUGCUUCCACAGGCUCAUGAAAUCCUUUGCAUGCAGCACAGCAAGACAGAGUGAUGUUAAACCAAAGAAGAAAGCAGAAAAGUAUUAACAACAAAUGUUACAKUCUCUUUGGAUAACAAGAGAAGCCRCAAAAAGAAUUCAUAUUCCAAGUCACCAGGUUAUGUUCACAUUCCUGAGAUGAUCCUUCCUUUGGAAAUCUUCGAUGCUGACAUGUUGGCCGUUAUACUUUUUUAAUAAAACUCAAACACUUGUCUGUGUGUUAAACAGCUGGUACAAGAUCCCACAGCCUUUAGAAGUGUGUCUAAUCCUUAUUAACACUGGCAGYUUUCUUAGAAAGGCAGAGGUGAAGACGCCUUGAAAGAAGAGUUCGGAGGAGCAAACCCUCCCACUUUUUUAUUAACAAAUGCUCAKAUUAAUAUCAAMUACAUUCAUUUAAAAGGUCAAACARAAGGAYAGGAUGGGAUUGAUGCCUCUGCAGCUCAAGUCACCCUGGGAGGGAGCACAAAAAGGUCAGCAGUUCUCGUCCAUUACUCCAGUUGUAGGUGGAGGUUACACCGCCCUCGCCGGGGCUCGGUGGAGGCUU